rnacentral:rRNA from 1 species
CCAUAGCGUAUAUUAAAGUUGUUGCGGUAAAAAAGCUCGUAGUUGGAUUUCUACCGAAGAUAGCCGGUCGGGUCUUCGACCUUGUAUCUGGUUUUGUCUUUGGUAUCCUCAUAGGGAACGUUUCUGCGCUUUAUUGCGUGGUGCGGUAUCUAUGACUUUUACUUUGAGGAAAUUAGAGUGUUCACGGCAGGCAAACGCCUUGAAUAUAUUAGCAUGGAAUAAUAACAUAGGAUCUUCGUCCUAUUUUGUUGGUUUCUAGGGCUAAGAUAAUGAUUAAUAGGGAUAAUUGGGGGCAUCUGUAUCAACGCGUCAGAGGUGGAAUUCUUGGAUUGCGUUGCGACAAACUACUGCGAAAGCAUUUGCCAAGGAUGUUUUCAUUGA